AUAAAAAAACUGAUUUAAUCACCCAAAAAAACAAAGGACCAAUAGUGCAAAUGGCCCAUUUUGAACCCAUUUUAAAACCCAAAACUCAUUCCCUUUGUCUGUCAUUUUUGAGUUUGCCGCAGCCCCCCUUCCACCAUUUCAGACCCAUCUCCGAUCAACUACAACGACCAUGACGGCACCACGACGGAGCGCUACCGCUGGAUGAACGUGCACGGCGCUAGGGGAAACGGCAGUUAUUGCGACGUGGGAGUGUACAGCGCUGGUCUGCUGCUUGCUGUUGGAGUUUGCCUUUUUUUUUUUGGGCUGUACAGUGUUAUUAGUUUGGGCCUUAUUGGGCCUCGUUUUUGGUUUUUUAGCCAAGCCGAAAUUGGCCUAUUACAUAUGUAAUGACAAUGACCAUAUUGUAAACUUUUUACUUUCGAUGCUCGAAAUAACAAUUAUGAAAAUUAGGUGA